UGUGUGUAUAAAACGUUGGGACAGGGAGAUAGCUCUGUGAGUAAGGUGAAUACUGAACAGCCUUGAGGACUUAAGUUUGGAUUCUUAGCACCCAAGUGUGGUGGCAUGUGCCCGUGACCCCAGGCUGGGGUUGGGGUCCUUGGCCAACCCGUCUAGCUGACAGAGCAAGCAAACACCAGACAAACUAGAGAUCUUAUCUCAAAAGGCAGAGCUAAAAGCCAAAAAGCCAUAGACGACAGUUAAGACUGACCUCUGGCCUCCAUGGAGACUCCCACACAAACACCAUCCAUGAACACAGAGUGUGCACGUGCGUGCGUGCGUGCGUGUACACACACACACACACACACACACACACACACACAGAGAGAAAGCUGAUUAUCACAAAGUUAAGUAGGAAGUCUUCUAGAAGAUUUCCUGUAGAAGACUCGAUUAUCAGAUGAAAAUUCCAGUUCUGGACAUAGGAUACCGCUAUGUAAGUCAUUGGUUGUGGAGGUACCAAAGGUUCCCAAAACAAUACAUGCCACUGCUGUUGUUCUUGGUCACCCACUAGAACUAGACAAUAAGACCUAGUGCUAAAGAGACAACUUACUUUGGUCGCAGGAUAUAGAAAACUCAAGCUAAAACUGAUCUGAAAAUUUCUUCCUACUACAUGCUAGCUUUCACAGUACUGGAAAAUGCUGCCCAGGCCACUGGGGGAGAAAAUAUAUCUGAUCUUACUCAGCACUGGACCCUGCAUUCUACCAUACUACUAUAAUGCUAAUACCUGCCAUGCAAGAUGUGCCCAUUGUUAUGACAGUGACACAAAGGUCCUGGGGAUAACCAACUGCUUUUGGACUGGAUUUGAGGCCUGCCCCACAGGAGAGAACUCAUGCCUUAUACUGCAAACCUGGUCAAAAGCAUGGCUCAGGAGGUCAUGGGCCCUAGAGGGGAACCUGUUAUAGUCAACUUGGCAUAAGACAGAUCAUCAGACUGCCUUUGAAACACUUAUGUUUAUACCCAUGGAUUAGUCUUCCAUUAACCUUGACCAGAGAAGUCUCUCUCUGCAAUAGGCAGAGAUCACUUAAUGCCAUGGGUCAUAACUGGCCAAAGUGCUGAGAAUAACGCCUACUGAGUGAGCCCUAAAUAGGAUAUUUAUCUCAACAUUCAUCCUACCCAAGGACCAGGAACACCAUGGGAGACAGGAGUAGAAACAGAUCUAAGAACCAGAGGACCGGAGGAGUCUAUGAUAUACUAUCUUCUGGACCAGGAGUGUGACUGCGAGUACAGACGGACUGCAGCUGUGUCACCUGUGCAAGGCCCAGUCAAAAGCAUCAGUCAACAUCCCAGCAAGCACUAAUUAAACUUAUUAAGCUCAGAAGGUUAUUUUUAAAUGGUACGGGGGAGCACAGGUGGAUAUGCCCCAGCGGUUUAUAAUAUGUAUUGCUCUCGCAGAAGAUCAAUGGUUCCCAGCAUCCACCCCUGGGCAGCUCACAAGCAUCUGUAAGCACAGCUCCAGGAGGGUCAGGGAUCUUUCCUCUGGCCUCUGCAGAUCUGUCCACUCACGUGUUCACACUCACACAUGGACACAAACAUAUGACUAGAAAUAAAAUAUAUCUUAAAUUAAUGACUU
rnacentral:lncRNA from 1 species